UACGAAGGGGGCUAGCGCUGCUCGGAAUCACUGGGCGUAAAGCGCACGUAGGCGGACUCUUAAGUCGGUGGUGAAAUCCUGGAGCUCAACUCCAGAACUGCCUUCGAUACUGAGAGUCUCAGAGUCCGGGAGAGGUGAGUGGAACUCCGAGUGUAGAGGUGAAAUUCGUAGAUAUUCGGAAGAACACCAGUGGCGAAGGCGGCUCACUGGCCCGGUACUGACGCUGAGGUGCGAAAGCGUGGGGAGCAAACAGG
rnacentral:rRNA from 1 species